AAGCAGAAGUGCAAGGACUAAGAGUUUGGGUGUUAACAGAGAGAGGUGCAACUGAAAGUCCAAUUGGCUUCUGUUAACAGAGAUAAGCCAUCAUCAUCUGAGAAGCGGGUGAAGAGAGAGCAUGCUGAUGCACAUUUAAGAGAAGAGCUCAAAAAAGGAAAGUGUCUAUGGAAUGCUGCUUUUUGUUGUCUCACUCACAACUACAAAAGGCGCAUGAGUAAAAAUCUCUUCAUCUACUGGUUUGAUUGUAUCAUUGAAAGCUUUAAAAGAAUUAUGAAUGAUGCAAGUAUGGGGCAUAGUAAUGAUGGUUUGUUGUGGGCUCUAAGG